GAUGAAGAACGUAGCGAAAUGCGAUAAGUAGUGUGAAUUGCAGAAUUCAGUGAAUCAUCGAAUCUUUGAACGCACAUUGCGCCCCAUGGUAUUCCGUGGGGCAUGCCUGUUCGAGCGUCAUUUACCCCCUCAAGCUCCGCUUGGUGUUGGGCGUCUGUCCCGCUUCGCGCGCGGACUCGCCCCAAAGGUAUUGGCAGCGGUCGUGCCAGCUUCUCGCGCAGCACAUUGCGCUUCUCGAGGCACCGGUGGGCCCGCGUCCAUCAAGCUCACCCCCCCAGUUUGACCUCGGAUCAGGUAGGGAAACCCGCUGAACUUAAGCAUAUCAAUAAGCGGAGGA
rnacentral:misc_RNA from 1 species